rnacentral:lncRNA from 1 species
AGGGUUCUAGGCAGCAAGACAAGGAGCUGAGAGGCCCAAGGCAGCAUCUGUCGCUCCGUUGAACAUCCUAGAGCCUCCUCAGAGUUCCCGGCUGGGGCUGUGAAGAGCAAAGGCUGUGAGGAAAGUGAUGGCGCUGCCCUCAGCUUCUCAGAGGACGGAGCGCUGCUAAAGCCAUAGCAAAUCUUUGGUGUAAGCAGUAGUGAAGGAGAAAAACUGAGGAACAGGAGCAAGGUGAAGUGGUGGAUGGAGCAGGAAACCCAGGAGUUAGCCCUGACCUGGUGCUCAAGGAAGAAUGGGAUUCAAGGGUAGGCCUGGCAGGUCCGUGAGCAGUUGGCAAGGACACAGUGACCUUUGGGAAGGCUUCAGGGAGCUCUCUCGGAGAUUGUAAGAGGAGGAGAAAACAUGGGCCUGUUUGUGAGCUACGUGGAGGAUCUGAAAACGGACAGCUCCAUGUGCCCUGGGUGGAUGAAGGAUGAGAAGCAGAUGGAACGAGCGCGUUCUCUGGGGCUGGAAGCAGUUGUGUCCAGAGUGCAGCCCCACGUGGAGAUGAGGAGGCGGGCUUAAAGGUGGCUGAAGUGCCUCUGUGGUAGACAAAUUUGUCCAGGCUCAGCAGGCAGAGUAGCUUGCAGCAUUGGUCCAUGUAUCUUCAAUCCAGAGCCCAGUUGAAGAAUUGGGCUUUCAUGACCUUCAUUAUUAAGGCCCAAACUGCAAGAAGAAGGAACUGCAAAUUGAGGUCUUGUAAAACCUUAAUUCUGAACUG